rnacentral:tRNA from 1 species
UAAGUUGUAACUCAGUGGUAGAGUGCUUGCCUAGCACAUAUGAGGCACUGGGUUCAAUCCUCAGCAACAAAU